GGCAGCUACGCCCCAUGUGGUGGAGAGUCAGAUGCCAAACCUACCAGUUUUCUGGGUGAAACCAGAGGAUGGGAGUGGGCCUGUCAAGAUUCUCCAUCAGAACCACCUGCUGCCUCUGGGACUAGAGGUGCAGGUGGACCCAGAGCCAGACCUGGAGUCUACACCUAGUAAGAGGACUCUGCGGAAAUGCAGGGCGACCACAGGGCCAACAGCAGGGGAGGUUAAGCCGGCCCCCACCCCUGAGAGGGAUACUGAUUCGGAGGAUGAGGACCUGGAUGUGUGGUAUAUGCUGCCUUUUGCCAACACCCCACUGAUUGAGGAAGCGACUCCUGGGCCCUUCUCCCAUUGGGUCAAGUGAAAUUGGGGGUGCUAUCUCUGGACAACCCAGGUUGCAGUGGGACCCUGCGAGGGAUGAAGCGGGGCUUGGCUACAGGACAGAGGGGAGCGAGUUGCAGGUGGGCAUGAGUAAUAGGCCAGGGGAGCCCUCGCCAGGUAGACCAGAAGUAUCCCCAAUAGUGUCGGAACCUGAACAGUUAGGUCAAGAGGAAGAGAGGUCUCAGAGAAUGAGGAGACCACCGGCUAGGCUGGCCUAUGUAGCACCAAGGGAACAGAGUGUGACCCCUACUAUUUUGGUGAGCUAGGUCACUGCCUUUUACACCUGGAUUGGACUUGGUGUUUCGCAGGAAGGGUUGGCAAAUUAUCUCAAAGUCAUGAGGACAUGACUAAAUUCGGUGGGGGGAAGAGUGUAAUGACCUGGGAAAGGUUUCCCUGCUAAUGUAAUGGUUUCUCAGCAGCGCAGUGUUUGGGUUAUGUCUAGAGAUAACGGGGGCUUUCGAAUGUGCGCUGUCCAAUGAGUGGACUGUUUUUCUUUCUUGUAUGCCCGAGAGCAAAGGUUUUGCGGACCUUUGUUCGAUAGAACAUGAGAGAGAAGAUGCCAGAACAGGGAAGUCGUAGACUGCUGGACAGAACGGACUUGGAAUGGGAUUGAGAGUUGACGCCUUGGGAGAAAAUCGAUAGAGAAUGAACGGACGGGAAAACUAAGAAUCCUACGGAUCAGAAAAUAAAUGGAGGUACAACAAUAUCUUCACCCAUGUUCCAGCUAGUCAAUCUCCUGUACGUUCCAGCUGGUCAACCUCAGAUGCUGCCUGACCAGCUGAGCUCCUGUGCUCUCUUGUUUGUCGCACGCCGUCGUGUGCAAGGCUUUUAUCCUUCUCAUCGGUAGUUUGUCAGGCGUUGACAGAUCAGCCCGGGUGAGUGACUUGCCAUUGGUCAGCACUGAGGCUGUUGUGCUGGUAGCAGAGGUAAAACAUUUUCAGGGAAGCUGUCAAAUGGGCUGCUCUGCCUUACAAAGUCUUUGGCUUCUUGAGUGUAGUUGGAGCAUCACUCAUCCAGGCCAGUCGAGAACGUUUCAUCACUCAGCUCAUUUUGCAAGAUUCAAGUGGCAUUUAUUAUCGAAGUACGUAUGCAGUAUACAACCCUGAGAUUUGUCUUCCCACAGAUGGCCACGAAACAAAGAAAACCAUGGAAGUCAUUUAAAGAAAAACAUCCAAACCCCAACACGCAAAGAACAGAUCGCAGAAACAGCAAGAAAAAGAACGAGCAAGAAACACUGAAUACAAAAGAGCAAGUCACAAAGACAUUGAUAAAUUCCAGGCAUAUUCAGUUCAGUUCAAUCCAGCGCCACAUCCAGGCUGCGGUGCUAAACUGUCCCAAUCAAAAUUGCACAAAGCAGUGUCCCGAAGUCGGAAACACACCAUAACGUGAACUACAGAGUCCAGUCCAGAAACCAUGUCGAUUGAACCUCCCCCAAGACUCAAGAACUCCGACACCAUCCUCCAGCAGCAUCAAGCGAGAGAGAGACAGAUUAUUCAGACGUAGGCAGCUUCCUCCAGAAUAUCACAUUUAUUUAUGUAUCCUCAAUACUCCCAAAGAAUAACAAUAAAUUACUGAUCGUCUUACAGUUAAUACUUCCAUGCUGUUUUGAAUGCAUCAUUUGCCAUUUUAUCAGAUACAUAUGAAUUAUUUUGUUUGUAAAGGGUACCAUUAUCUUCUCACACAUUAGAUGCCUAGCUAGUGGAACAAUUUGCCACAGAAUCAAUCUUUUAAAUAGUUUGAAAUAAAAUUCACUGUUUACCAGUCUUCU